GCGAAAUGCGAUAAGUAAUGUGAAUUGCAGAAUUCCGUGAAUCAUCGAAUCUUUGAACGCACAUUGCGCCCUCUGGUAUUCCGGGGGGCAUGCCUGUUCGAGCGUCAUUGCAAACCCUUCAAGCACGGCUUGUGUGUUGGGCCAACGUCCCCGCUUGUGUGGACGGGCCUGAAAUGCAGUGGCGGCACCGAGUUCCUGGUGUCUGAGUGUAUGGGAAAUCACUUCAUCGCUCAAAGACCCGAUCGGGGCCGAUCUCUUUUUUUUAUUAUAUCCGGUUUGACCUCGGAUCAGGUAGGAGUACCCGCUGAACUUAAG
rnacentral:rRNA from 1 species